AGCCGGGCGGUGAGCACAGAGCGAACUAUUCUUUCGCCUUUUACUAAAGAAUACCGUGUGCUCGCCGCACUCACCGGCAUACGCAUAUUUUUGGAGGAGUUUCUCUUUACCAAGAAACU